rnacentral:tRNA from 1 species
GGUAAUAUAGUUCAGUUGGUAGAACAGCAGAUUCAUAAUCUGUACCGCGCUGGUUCAAAUCCAGCUAUUACCA